CUAAACGUCACAUGACGAAUAGAAGAAAGGUGGCUUCGGCUACCGCUUAUGGAUGGACCCGCGGCGUAUUAGCUAGUUGGUGAGGUAAUGGCUCACCAAGGCGAUGAUACGUAGCCGACCUGAGAGGGUGAUCGGCCACACUGGGACUGAGACACGGCCCAGCCUCCUACGGGAGGCAGCAGUAGGGAAUCUUCCGCAAUGGACGAAAGUCUGACGGAUCAAUGGCGCGUGAGUGAAGAAGGUUUUCGGAUCGUA
rnacentral:rRNA from 1 species